rnacentral:rRNA from 1 species
AGAGUUUGAUCCUGGCUCAGGAUGAACGCUAGCUACAGGCCUAACACAUGCAAGUCGAGGGGAAACGGCAGCUUAGCUUGCUAAGCUGGACGUCGACCGGCGCACGGGUGAGUAACGCGUAUCCAACCUGCCCCACGGUGAGGGAUAACCCGCGGAAACGCGGCCUAAUACCUCAUGGUCUCCGAGUUUGCCAUCAACCUUGGAGUAAAGAUUCAUUGCCGUGGGAUGGGGAUGCGUCUGAUUAGCUUGUUGGCGGGGCAACGGCCCACCAAGGCAACGAUCAGUAGGGGUUCUGAGAGGAAAGCCCCCCACAUUGGAACUGAGACACGGUCCAAACUCCUACGGGAGGCAGCAGUGAGGAAUAUUGGUCAAUGGGCGAGAGCCUGAACCAGCCAAGUAGCGUGCAGGAUGACGGCCCUAUGGGUUGUAAACUGCUUUUAUGCGGGGAUAAAGCGGGCGACGUGUCGCCCUUUGCAGGUACCGCAUGAAUAAGGACCGGCUAAUUCCGUGCCAGCAGCCGCGGUAAUACGGAAGGUCCGGGCGUUAUCCGGAUUUAUUGGGUUUAAAGGGAGCGCAGGCCGGGUAUUAAGCGUGUUGUGAAAUGUAGGCGCCCAACGUCUGCACCGCAGCGCGAACUGGUGCCCUUGAGUACGCACGACGUUGGCGGAAUUCGCCGUGUAGCGGUGAAAUGCUUAGAUAUGGCGAAGAACUCCGAUUGCGAAGGCAGCUGACGGGAGCGCUACUGACGCUCAUGCUCGAAAGCGCGGGUAUCGAACAGGAUUAGAUACCCCUGGUAGUCCCGCGCGGUAAAACGAUGGAUGCCCGCUAUUUUGCGCGUUUAGCGCAAGUGGGCCAAGUGGAAAACGUUAAGCAUCCCACCCUGGGGGAGUACGCCCGGCAACGGGGGAAACUCCAAAGGAAUUUGACGGGGGGCCCGCACAAACCGGAGGGAACAAUGGGGGUUUAAAUUCCAAUGAUAAACCCGAGGGAACCUUUACCCCGGGGUUUGAAUUUGCCAAAGGGAAAGAUCCAGAGAUGGUGAUGCCCUUCGGGGCCUCUGUGAAGGUGCUGCAUGGUUGUCGUCAGCUCGUGCCGUGAGGUGUCGGCUUAAGUGCCAUAACGAGCGCAACCCCUCUCCAUAGUUGCCAUCAGGUAAUGCUGGGCACUCUGUGGACACUGCCACCGUAAGGUGCGAGGAAGGUGGGGAUGACGUCAAAUCAGCACGGCCCUUACGUCCGGGGCUACACACGUGUUACAAUGGGGGGUACAGAGAGUCGGGACAACGCGAGUUGCCCCCAAUCAUUAAAGCCCCCCUCAGUUCGGACUGGGGUCUGCAACCCGACCCCACGAAGCUGGAUUCGCUAGUAAUCGCGCAUCAGCCAUGGCGCGGUGAAUACGUUCCCGGGCCUUGUACACACCGCCCGUC